UCCCCAACGUAGCAAUCUGGUCGUUCUUUGCCUUGAUGUCGC
rnacentral:sRNA from 1 species